AGACUGGGGCGCAGCGCACACCCAGAAAGCGCAGGCGAUGGAACCGCGCGUUCGCUCUUCCACUUUGAUUGCCAAAGUAAAAACGAACCACGCCGCUCCCUCAGGUGUGAAGAAAGACUGUUUGCCUCCACACAUCUUGCUCUGAAUAAAGGACAUAAAAAAGAAAAGAAAAAAUCCCCAAUAUAAAUACAUGAACGCAGUUGUGUGUGCGUGCCCGCAGGUUUCUGCCAGCACUUAGGUCUGGGCAGUGCAUGGUAGCCACAGCCACGUGGAGCAGCUUCUCCGGAAUCCAGGAGCUGAAGCCCUGCUCUGCUACUUGUUAGCUCUGCUCCCUCCCUUCUCAGCGUCCCGCUCUGAGUGGUCUCACAGCCUCAGGGCGUCAGCACGUGCAGUCUUUAGGUUAGUUUCCAACGUGAAGAUGCUGUAUAAAUCGUUUCAUUUAAAAAUUAGAUUAUUAUAUACAUUGCACAAAGGAACACAGUUCCUUCGGACUGGAAACCACCAGUCCCUUGAAUUGGCUGGAUGAGCACUCCCAAGAAAUCCGACUCAACCCAUGAUUUCCAGUGUGAGCUGUGAGGUGAAAGCUUCAAAUUUCAUGGUGCAAUAAGCAGCCUUGCAAGUGUGACUCUAUCUGUGAGAAGUGGGGCAUCAGAAAAGGGACCAACAUAAAAUGAGAGUGAACAUUUUGCUCAAGAUUUUGUAGCUAGUUAGUGGCAGAGCUGAUUCUAGAACCUGAGGGUGACUCUUGGUACAGGAAUUGGCCUGUGAAGGUGGGAACUCUGGCCCAGAAGUUCAGAAUCUAAUUCAAAAGCCUCCUCUACCGUAACCGUUUAUUUGUGUGCUUUCUAUCCAUUUUCAAAGUUAAUGGCUGGUUAGAUGACCUGAUAACCUCCAGUGUGUGCCAGUGUCCCCUCAGGGAGCUGUAUUGUUCUCUGUCUUCAGGGACCCUUAUUACAUAAGGUUUCGGGCUGCAGUUGGGGCCAGUUAGUUACAUUGGAGAUAGUGUAGGACUGAACUGGCCAAGGUCAUUGGUUUGACCUGGUUCAGACCAGUUUAAUUUUGCACAGAGAUAAAUUGCUCCAAGGUCAUACAUUAUACCUCUAAUAUUAGCUAGUCACUUCAUAAGUAGUUGUUAUAGGUUUUAAUAGCAAAGUAUGAGUGGUUCUACACCACCCAUUUCUAGAAAAAUUGCACAAACUACCAUUGUUCUGUUCAGUCUCAUUUAUUGAAUAAUUAUCUGAAGCUAUUACCAUUUUUUUGUAUAUACCUUAUAUUUGCUUAUUUUCCAAGUACUCACUAAAUACUGAUUGCUUUACAUAUAUUAUCUCAUUUAAGACUUCCAACUAUGCUGAGAACCAAGUGCUGUAUUAUUACUUUCUCCAUUUUAUGGUGACAAGAUGACUAAGCCAUAAAGAGGAAACCUAGAUACAGACCUGGGCAGUCUGAUGCCAGAGCUGCCCUCUUCACCCCAGGUCACACUAGUGAGUGUAAUGGCAGACCUUGAAAGGAUAUAGAAAGACAAAAACCAAGACACUUUCCCUUCCACAUUUUUAUAUGUAUCAUUACUUAGGCUUUCCUUUCUAUUUCAGCUAGCAAUUCCACAUUGAAGGGUACGUCCCACAGAAAGUCAUGUGACUAUAAAGGGAUAUAGACACAUCAAAACAUGUAUAUAUUCACUGCUACAUUGUGCAUAAUGGUGAAAAUGGGAAAUCAUUCUCUUGAUUGGAUUGGACAGAUAAGUAUUGUUACAUUCAUACAAUCUUAGGCUAUGUUGCUAUUUAAAAAGAACGAGGUCAGGAUGGGAGUACGUAUCACACACAGGUAGAGCAUGUGCUCAGCAUGCAUGAAGCCCUGGGUACACUCCCCAGUGUUAAGAGAGAGAAAGAUCUAUACGAAAAAUACUUAGGUUUAGAAAUAAAGCUACAAGUGAGGUCUGGCACUCUGGGAGAAUGAGUCAGAAGGAUCACAGAUUUGAGGGCAAUUUAGAGAUUUAGUGAGACCUUGUAUCAAAUUUUAUAAGGUGUGGGGUGACUGGGGUUGUAGCUUAGUGUUCAAUCCCCAGUACCACAAGAAAGAGAGGGAGGGAAGGAAGGAAGGAAGGAAGGAAGGAAGAGGCUACAAAGCUGUAUGUAUAAUGUAAUCCUAUUUCUGUAAAUAAAAUUUUAUUUGCUUACA